CGGAAUGUAACUUAUUUUAAAGUAUUUCAUUUACACUGAAGCGAAGAUUGUUAAUAGUCUGUUCUGA
rnacentral:tRNA from 1 species